rnacentral:lncRNA from 1 species
AAACAUAUUUGAUGAUUCCCUCUUAUAAAAGGAAGAUAUUUUUACAUACAAGGAUUUGACUCACUUACAUAUCUUAAUCCUUGUAAAAAUGAAGUGUGCUUUAAUAUCUUAUCGAUUUGAACUUCACAUAUGGCUUUCCUCCUUCAUGUAAAAAGAUAACAAAUAAAAAGGAAGAAGCAAUAAAAGCUAUCUCCAUGUCAUGUUUUCCUCGAGAUGUUUGCAUAAUUGGUAUCCUAUCACUCACUGUUGGAAAAUGACAUGAACCAACUUAUGGCAUCGCACUUAUAUUUAAAAUU